ensembl:miRNA
CCGUGGGGAAAUGUAGUAGACUUUCAGUAUACGUGUGGAACUGAAGAGUAUACUAAGUACACUACGUUUAUCCAGGGG